GCCUGGGUGGCUCAGUCGGUUGAGCGACUGACUUCGGCUCAGGUCAUGAUCUCACAGUCUGUGAGUUCGAGCCCCGUGUCGGGCU
rnacentral:tRNA from 1 species